rnacentral:rRNA from 1 species
UACAGAGGUGGCAAGCGUUGUUCGGAAUUACUGGGCGUAAAGGGCGCGUAGGCGGCCUUGUAAGUCCCGUGUGAAAUCCCCAAGCUUAACUUGGGAACUGCAUCCGAUACUGGAUGGCUUGAAUCCGGGAGAGGGAUGCAGAAUUCCAGGUGUAGCGGUGAAAUGCGUAGAUAUCUGGAGGAAUACCGGUGGCGAAGGCGGCAUCCUGGACCGGCAUUGACGCUGAGGAGCGAAAGCUAGGGGAGCAAACGGG